CCAAUAGCGUAUAUUAAAGUUGUUGCAGUUAAAAAGCUCGUAGUUGAAUUUCGGGGUUAGUAGGUUGGUCAUGCCUCUGGUAUGUACUGAUCUCACUGAUUCCUCCCUCUUGACGAACUGUAAUGUCAUUAAUUUGGUGUUGCAGGAAAUCAGGACUGUUACUUUGAAAAAAUUAGAGUGUUUAAAGCAGGCUAAGGCUUGAAUACAUUAGCAUGGAAUAAUGAAAUAGGACGUUUGAUCCUAUUUUGUUGGUUUCUAGGAUUGACGUAAUGAUUAAUAGGGAUAGUUGGGGGCAUUAGUAUUCAAUUGUCAGAGGUGAAAUUCUUGGAUUUAUUGAAGACUAACUACUGCGAAAGCAUUUGCCAAGGAUGUUUUCAUUAAUCAAGAACGAAAGUUAGGGGAUCGAAGACGAUCAGAUACCGUCGUAGUCUUAACCAUAAACUAUGCCGACUAGGGAUCGGAUGAUGUUAAUUAUUUAAUGACUCAUUCGGCGCCUUACG
rnacentral:rRNA from 1 species